rnacentral:rRNA from 1 species
UACAGAGGGGGCAAGCGUUGUUCGGAAUUACUGGGCGUAAAGGGCGCGUAGGCGGCCUUCUAAGUCGAACGUGAAAUCCCCGGGCUCAACCCGGGAACUGCGUCCGAUACUGGAAGGCUUGAAUCCGGGAGAGGGAUGCGGAAUUCCAGGUGUAGCGGUGAAAUGCGUAGAUAUCUGGAGGAACACCGGUGGCGAAGGCGGCAUCCUGGACCGGCAUUGACGCUGACGGCGCGAAAGCCGGGGAGCAAAGCGGG